GGUAUCCACUCCAAAUGCUUCAAGUAGUGUUGCUUGUUAAAAAUCCGAGAACAUCUCAAGGUUUGAAUGUUUGGAAUUGAAGAUCUUGAGAAAGAAAGGCAUAUGGGAACUUGAAUUUUGAAACUAUUUGGAUGUUAUGAUUAGACUUUUAUGGAUUUCGUUUUAAGUUUGUUAAGACAUUAUGUGUUUAUGCACUUUUAUGACUUUUGUGAACCUUUG
rnacentral:lncRNA from 1 species